rnacentral:rRNA from 1 species
GAUGAACGCUGGCGGCGUGCCUAACACAUGCAAGUCGAACGGAAAGGCCCUGCUUUUGCGGGGUUCUCGAGUGGCGAGGGGGUGUGUAACACGUGAGUAUCCUGCCCUUGACUGUGUGAUAACUUCAGGAAACUGCGGCUAAUACCGGAUAGGAGCUCCUGCUGCAUGGUGGGGGUUGGAAAGUUUCGGCGGUUGGGGAUCGACUCGCGGGUUACUAGCUUGUUGGUGGGGUAGUUGCCUAGCAAGGCUUCCACGGGUAGCCGGCCUGAGAGGGGGAUCGGCCACAUUGGAAGGGAGACAGGGUCCAGACGCCUAAGGGACGCAGCAGACGCGAACGGGAGGCAAUGGGCGAAAGUAUUACACAGUGAGCCGGAGUGUGAGACGACGGCCCUCGGAUCGGAAAGACCUCCUACGGGGUAUGAACCGCUGUCGGCUGAGACGUAGCGUUAGUGACGGUACUGAGUAAAGAAGCACCGGCUAACUACGUG